rnacentral:rRNA from 1 species
UACGUAGGGUGCAAGCGUUAAUCGGAAUUACUGGGCGUAAAGCGUGCGCAGGCGGUUAUGCAAGACAGAUGUGAAAUCCCCGGGCUUAACCUGGGAACUGCAUUUGUGACUGCAUAGCUGGAGUGCGGCAGAGGGGGAUGGAAUUCCGCGUGUAGCAGUGAAAUGCGUAGAUAUCAGGAGGAACAUCGAUGGCGAAGGCAGCCCCUUGGACCUGUACUGACGCUCAUGCACGAAAGCGUGGGAGCAAACAGG